rnacentral:rRNA from 1 species
AAUGAACGCUGGCGGCAUGCCUAACACAUGCAAGUCGAACGAAGGCUUCGGCCUUAGUGGCGCACGGGUGCGUAACGCGUGGGAAUCUGCCUUUCGGUUCGGAAUAACUCGGGGAAACCCGUGCUAAUACCGGAUGAUGUCGCAAGACCAAAGAUUUAUCGCCGAAAGAUGAGCCCGCGUGAGAUUAGCUAGUUGGUGGG